GACUACGGCCAUACCAGUCUGAAAGUGCCUGAUCUCGUCAGAUCUCAGAAGUUAUGCAGACUUGGGCCUUAUUAGUACUUGUAUGGGAGACCAACUAGGAACCUCAGGUGCCGUAAGCU
rnacentral:rRNA from 1 species